CCACUAGUACUCUUUUUGGGAAGUAGAGGCCAUGAGCAUUCCCUAAGGGUGCAGAUCCCUUCUCCCAGAAGGCCCAGCCAAGGUGCUGUGCAAUGCACAGGUGUGGGAUGGUGGCUGCUCCCUGUGUCCUCUUUUCACAGGCGUGGUCAUGGAAUUUAGUGCCUGCCAACGUGCCAGCCAAGGUCAGGUUAACUAAACCUGUAGCUCUGCUGAUCUACACGCUCGGGGCUACAGAGGACAGUAACAUCUACCCAAAAACCAGAAAAGAGUUACAGAAAAAGGAAACCUACUGGAGAAAACAGGAGCUGAAAACCCCAAAAAUCAACUCCAUACAGAAAGUAUUCUUUUUGAAGUAAGAUGUGUUGAAUUAUGCAUCUGCUCUUAGAAUGGGGAUUAGAUAUUUCUAGUAAUAAAUACAUUAAAUAAGACCA